UGGGGGAUAUUGCACAAUGGGCGAAAGCCUGAUGCAGCGACGCCGCGUGGGGGAUGAAGGCCUUCGGGUUGUAAACUUCUUUUGCUCUGAACAAGGCAUGCUAAUGGGUGUGUUGAGUGUAGGGGUUGAUUAGCGCCGGCUAACUACGUGCCAGCAGCCGCGGUAAUACGUAGGGCGCGAGCGUUGUCCGGAAUUAUUGGGCGUAAAGGGCUUGUAGGUGGCUGGUUGCGUCUGUCGUGAAAGCUCAUGGCUUAACUGUGGGUUUGCGGUGGGUACGGGCUGGCUUGAGUGCAGGAGGGGAGGCUGGAAUUACUGGUGUAGCGGUUGAAUGCGCAGAUAUCAGGAGGAAUACCGGUGGAGAAGGCGGGUCUCUGGGCUGUUACUGACACUGAGGAGCGAAAGCAUGGGGAGCGAACAGG
rnacentral:rRNA from 1 species